rnacentral:lncRNA from 1 species
CAUAAUUCAUUUGAAAAUUAAGGUCUUUCCGAAUCGACUUGACUUACACAGAAAUAUUUGCCACUGGUCUUUACUCAAACAACGAUUCACUCAUAAAUGCAUUACUUAAAAAGUGUGAGGUAAAUGUAUUGUUUGUCUAGUAUCUCGGAUCCGUGAAAUUACACUUAAAAAGUAAAAAAAAAAAACAUUACCCUCUUCCUUUGCCA